GAUGAACGCUGGCGGCGUGCCUAAUACAUGCAAGUCGAGCGAACAGAUGAGGAGCUUGCUCCUCUGACGUUAGCGGCGGACGGGUGAGUAACACGUGGAUAACCUACCUAUAAGACUGGGAUAACUUCGGGAAACCGGAGCUAAUACCGGAUAAUAUAUUUAACCGCAUGGUUCAAUAGUGAAAGACGGUUUUGCUGUCACUUAUAGAUGGAUCCGCGCCGCAUUAGCUAGUUGGUAAGGUAACGGCUUACCAAGGCAACGAUGCGUAGCCGACCUGAGAGGGUGAUCGGCCACACUGGAACUGAGACACGGUCCAGACUCCUACGGGAGGCAGAAGUAGGGAAUCUUCCGCAAUGGGCGAAAGCCUGACGGAGCAACGCCGCGUGAGUGAUGAAGGUCUUCGGAUCGUAAAACUCUGUUAUUAGGGAAGAACAAAUGUGUAAGUAACUAUGCACGUCUUGACGGUACCUAAUCAGAAAGCCACGGCUAACUACGUG
rnacentral:rRNA from 1 species